CAUUGCCGAAAACUGUUGUUUGGGGGCGCGGCAGAGAAACUUCGCGGCCACCGCAGGUGAGGUUUCCCAAAAAAGUGGACCGCGAGAUCGAGCCCGCGGCCCUCGUUCCUCGUUCCGCGAUUCCUUUUUCACCCAGUUGCCCCUUCGAUCGAUUGAUCGUCGUUCGGGUUGUUAAGUGACUUGAAGCUCUGCUCCUUCCCCGCCUCUUCUCUUGCAUUUAUUCGUUGGUCGUCUUCUCUCGUUCAUUCUUCUUCCCAUAUCUUCCCGUCGAAAGAAGCCCUGUCCAUCGAACUCCUUCCUCUUCCAUCCUCUCCUUCGAAGCUGCACAACCCGCUUCUUCCUUCUUCGACCGUAGCACUGUUCCUGGUUCUUCGUGCAGAGGAAGGUAUAACGGAAGUCCCAACACAGCUUUUUUAACAUUUUUAACCUAAGCUCGGACCGCUAGCAGCGUCUUCUUCUCCAAGCAGCAUUACUAAUGUGAUGGUGUGGAAUCUUGCACGUAAUUAUCCGUGCUUGCCUCAAUCCACAAACCCAAAAGAGAAAGGAACAACUGCAGUUGGAAGAACAAGCUAAGAGAGCUAGUUCACUAGAGCAAGGUUUUCUGGGUAUCCAUUCUAGCUCCCCCAUGCUUUCCAUGGACAUCACCAAGGCACAGAUUCUUAUUCCGUUGCUGCUUGCCUAGCUCAACUACUAUUAGAUGGCUUGUUCUUUCCAUUUCUCCUUUAUUUUUACUGAAGAGCGGCAGAAUGAUCAUUUUUCCAUAAAUAAUUGCCCGAAAACUGAUUUCACAUAGCUCUACCAAAC